UCCACUCACUACUGUAAGUUGCUCUGGAUAAGAGCAGCUGCUAAAUUACUAAAA
rfam:Salmo salar isolate Sally breed double haploid chromosome ssa14, whole genome shotgun sequence.